rnacentral:rRNA from 1 species
AUGCGUCAGGUUCUUCAGUACCGCAGGCUGCCGCUUUGGUUCCAACUGCCACUUCAUCCACGACAUCCCGGGCGGCUCUCAGGCCGUCGCAGAAACGAGCAUCCCGAGUGGCCCAGCUCCAGCUCCAAAAAUAGCAGUACCUCUGGUUGCCCCUUUGGCGAGGGUUGCCAUUUCCUCCAUUACUUUCCCGGUGGCCACCAGGCUGUUGCAAAGAUGAGCAACCUGGGUGGCCAAGCAUUUGCACAUCCCCAAGGAAGAAUGCCUGCAGGAUCUGCAGUUCCAGAUGGCCCCCUUACACCAACUGUCAAGACUAAAUUGUGCAACAAGUACAACACUGCUGAGGGAUGCAAAUGGGGUGACAAGUGCCACUUUGCACAUGGUGAGAGGGAGCUCGGCAAGCACAUGUUCAUCAACAAGUCCAUGCCACCCCAUAUGGGACCAAGGCCCACCGGCCACUUUGGACCUCCGGCAAUGCCCAGCCCUGCCAUGACCAUCCCAGCAGGCUUCGGGGCUUCUUCCACAGCCAAGGUCAGUGUCGAUGCGUCCCUCGCAGGAGGCAUCAUCGGGCGGGGUGGAGUCAACACAAAGCAGAUAUCCCGAGUCACCGGGGCCAAGCUGGCCAUCCGGGACCACGAAUCAAACGAAGCCUUGAAAAACAUUGAGCUCGAGGGCACGUUUGAUCAGAUCAACAACGCCAGCGCCAUGCUCAGGGAGUUGUUCUUCAGGAUCAGCGGUGGCGCCAACGCCCCUCUGCCGAGUGAGAACCUGGCCGGAGGAUCUCACCGCGCCGGCGGCGGUGGGCAGGGAAGCAACUUCAAGACCAAGCUGUGCGACAACUUCACGAAAGGGUCGUGCACAUUUGGCGUCAGAUGCCACUUUGCCCAUGGCGAAAAUGAGCUGCUCAAAUCGGCUGCCGCAUGA